CCUACGGGAGGCAGCAGUGGGGAAUAUUGGACAAUGGGGGGAACCCUGAUCCAGCGACGCCGCGUGAGUGAAGAAGUAUUUCGGUAUGUAAAGCUCUAUCAGCAGGGAAGAAAAUGACGGUACCUGACUAAGAAGCCCCAGCUAACUAAGUGCCAGCAGCCGCGGUAAUACGUAGGGGGCAAGUGUGAUCCGGAUUUACGGGGUGUAAAGGGAGCGUAGACGGUGUCGCAAGUCUGAUGUGAAAGGUCGGGGCCCAACCCCGGGACUGCAUGGGAAACUGGUGAACGGGAGUACAGGAGAGGUAAGCGGAAUUCCUAGUUGAGCGGUGAAAUGCGUAGAUAUUAGGAGGAACAUCAGUGGCGAAGGCGGCUUACUGGACUGUAACUGACGUUGAGGCUCGAAAGCGUGGGGAGCAAACAGGAUUAGAUACCCGUGUAGUC
rnacentral:rRNA from 1 species